GACGAACGCUGGCGGCGUGCUUAACACAUGCAAGUCGAACGGAAAGGCCCUGCUUUUGUGGGGUGCUCGAGUGGCGAACGGGUGAGUAACACGUGAGUAACCUGCCCUUGACUUUGGGAUAACUUCAGGAAACUGGGGCUAAUACCGGAUAGGAGCUCCUGCUGCAUGGUGGGGGUUGGAAAGUUUCGGCGGUUGGGGAUGGACUCGCGGCUUAUCAGCUUGUUGGUGGGGUAGUGGCUUACCAAGGCUUUGACGGGUAGCCGGCCUGAGAGGGUGACCGGCCACAUUGGGACUGAGAUACGGCCCAGACUCCUACGGGAGGCAGCAGUGGAGAAUAUUGCACAAUGGGCGGAAGCCUGAUGCAGCAACGCCGCGUUCGGGAUGACGGCCUUCGGGUUGUAAACCGCUUUCGCCUGUGACGAAGCGUGAGUGACGGUAAUGGGUAAAGAAGCACCGGCUAACUACGUG
rnacentral:rRNA from 1 species